UCUGCUCCACUGUAACCUCAGGGAGAUAAGAUCUGAAAUUUUUCGGUUCUGUUCCACUGUAAUCUCAGGGAGAUAAGAUCUCUGGCUUCAAUCUGAUGUGAUCUACUCUACUGUAACUUCAGAGAGAUAGAUCCUUUAUUUUAAUCCGCUCCACUGUAACUUCAGAGAGAUAGGAUUACUAGCUUCAAUCUACUCCGCUGUAAUUUCAGAGAGAUAAGAUCUCUGGCUUCAAUCUGCUCCACUGUAACCUCAGGGAGAUAAGAUCUGAAAUUUUUCGGUCUACUCCACUGUAAUCUCAGGGAGAUAAGACCUGUAUAAUAAACCUAAUUAUGCCUAAUGAUUAGGAUGACAUGAUCAAAAUGAAACAAAUGCUCCUACUAGACAUAUGUGAAUGGUGUUUGCAUGAAUGCAGAAUUUUAUUUUUCCGAGAAUGAUCUCGCUUAGGUUGUCAUUACUCGAAGUUUACUAAGGCUUUGUGACUGACGUGCUUCAACGCCUUCUCGCUUGACUGACUUUUCUGAAGAAACAUUUAGCCA
rnacentral:lncRNA from 1 species